rnacentral:lncRNA from 1 species
AAUUCAAUUUGUUUAAUUAUCUCUUGAUUAUGUUAGAUGUUGUAAACUAUCACUAUCGUAUUCGAAUAUUUCUCUCGCAAGUUGAUAGCUACCGAAAACCUUUCGUACUUGAUUAAGUUUUAUUAUUUGAAAUUUGAAAGAUGGUUUAAUUUAUUUAUCAAGACUUAUAAAAUCAAUUAUCAACCCUGAGUAUUGGGAUGUCGAUGAACACGAAAUAUUAACAUAGUGAUUUGUUUUUUUACCCGACUGCAGCAUUAAACUGCAGGUCGAUCGUUCGGGGCUGGUGAAUAUCUCAGUUGGGUGAACCUAGCAAAAAAUCUUGGAAAACAAAGUACAGAAGCUGCAUAGGUCACAACGUUAUUGCAAGAACAAAAAAAAAAAAACAGUGUCGAAAGUACGUCGCUUCAUCGUUCAACAGCAAAUGCUACGAGAACUUUUUCAUCUAAAGUGUGGAGCUUCAUCGUUAAACCGUAAAUGCCACCAGGAUUAUUUCGUAUCUGAAGUGCGGACCAAGUCAGAAAAGAGUUAAGCGAAGACAUCCGAAUGACUACUCCAUUACUUGGCAGCAUUGGUGAGUUUGCAUGUAUUUGGGUUACAGGUGCUUCUCCAGGUCGCUUUUAUCACGUGCCAAUACUUACUUUUGUUUCUGAUUCUGCAAGUAAAUUUUUUUUUAUAGCUGUUUAAGAUCUAAAUAACAGUAAAACGGUAAUUCCAAGUUAUUUAAUUGAUUGAUUGUGAGUCAAGUUCACAGGGUAGUUGUAUAAUUUAAAUUUCAUUCUACAGAUCACUUUCAAUAUUAUAUUCUACUUUCUUUGCAGAAUAUCCCAAUUUUAUUUUAUAAGCCUAAGCCCAAGCAAUUACUUUCAAAUUUACCGCAUAAGCUAUUGCCAGUAAUUCGUUUUCAACUGUUUAGUAACUUCUCUUUCGUUGAUCUUGUAAUCUGGUUACAUAUUUUGUAUUCUACCGGCAAAUCUUUUCCUACUG